rnacentral:misc_RNA from 1 species
GAUGAAGAACGUAGCGAAAUGCGAUAAGUAGGGUGAAUUGCAGAAUUCAGUGAAUCAUCGAAUCUUUGAACGCACAUUGCGCCCUUUGGUAUUCCUUAGGGCAUGCCUGUUCGAGCGUCAUUUAAACCUUCAAGCUAAGCUUGGUGUUGGGUGACUGUCCGCUUCACGGCGGACUCGCCUCAAAAUUAUUGGCGGCCGGUACAUUGGCUUCGAGCGCAGCAGAAACGCGAACUCGGGCCCGUCGUAUUGGCUCCCAGAAGCUAUCUUCACAAUUUUGACCUCGGAUCAGGUAGGGAUACCCGCUGAACUUAAGCAUAUCAAUAAGCGGAGGA